rnacentral:rRNA from 1 species
CGGUUGAUCCUGCCGGAGGCUACCGCUAUUGGAGUUCGAUUAAGCCAUGCGAGUCGCGAGUCUUAGGGACUCGGCGUACCGCUCAGUAACACGUGGGUAACCUGCCCUAUGCUGGGGGAUAACCUCGGGAAACUGAGAAUAAUACCCCAUAGUUCACCACGCCUGGAACGGUGGGUGGAUGAAAGCUCCGGCGGCAUAGGAUGGGCCUGCGGCGUAUCAGGUUGUAGGGGGUGUAAUGUACCCUCUAGCCAUCUACGCGUACGGGUGUUGGGAGACAUCGCCCGGAGAUGGAUUCUGAGACACGAAUCCAGACCCUACGGGGUGCAGCAGGCGCGAAAACUUGGCAAUGCGAGCAAUCGUGACCAGGGAACUCCAAGUGCAUCGGGUAAGACCGAUGCUUUUCUUGACUCUUCAAAGGUCUUGGAAUAAGGGGUGGGUAAGGACGGUGCCAGCCGCCGCGGUAAUACCGGCGCCUCAAGUGGUAGUCGCUUUUAUUGGGCCUAAAACGUCCGUAGCCGGUUUGGUACAUUCGUGGGUAAAUCAAGGCGCUCAACGUCUUGAAUUCUGCGAGCACGGCCAGACUUGGGACCGGGUGAGGUGUGGGGUACUCUCAGGGUAGGGGUAAAAUCCUGUCAUCCUGAGAGGACCACCUGUUGCGAAGGCGCCACACUAGAACGGAUCCGACGGUCAGGGACGAAGCCUAGGGGCACGAACCGGAUUAGAUACCCGGGUAGUCCUAGGUGUAAACGCUGUGGACUUGAUGUUGGGAGUGCUCCGAGCACCCUCAGUGUCGAAGCGAAGGUGAUAAGUCCACUGCCUGGGGAGUACGGUCGCAAGGCUGAAACUUAAAGGAAUUGGCGGGGGAGCACUGCAACCUGAGGAUUGUGCGGUUUAAUUGGAUUCA